rnacentral:rRNA from 1 species
CAGUAGCCACGGGAAUACGAAGGGUGCAAGCGUUAAUCGGAAUUACUGGGCGUAAAGCGUGCGUAGGCGGUUUGUUAAGUCUGCUGUGAAAUCCCCGGGCUCAACCUGGGAAUGGCAGUGGAUACUGGCAAGCUAGAGUGUGUCAGAGGAUGGUGGAAUUCCCGGUGUAGCGGUGAAAUGCGUAGAGAUCGGGAGGAACAUCAGUGGCGAAGGCGGCCAUCUGGGACAACACUGACGCUGAGGCACGAAAGCGUGGGGAGCAAACAGGAUUAGAUACCCCGGUAGUCCCUGUCUCUUAUAC